rnacentral:rRNA from 1 species
AGAGUUUGAUCAUGGCUCAGAAUGAACGUUGGCGGCGUGGAUUAGGCAUGCAAGUCGUACGCAUAGCUUCGGCUAUGAGUGGCGCAAGGGUGAGUAAUGCGAAGGUAACCAACCCUGGUGUUGGGCAUAGCCGCGGGAAACUGCGGGUAAUUCCCAGCGACGUCACGAGAUGGCAUCAUCUUGUGACCAAAGGUGUGAUUCCGCUCUAGGACGGGCCUUCGUGGUAUUAGGUAGUUGGUGAGGUAACGGCUCACCAAGCCGACGAUGCCUACCGGGUGUGAGAGCAUGACCCGGCACACUGGAACUGAGACACUGUCCAGACACCUACGGGUGGCUGCAGUCGAGAAUCUUCAGCAAUGGGCGAAAGCCUGACCGAGCGACGCCGCGUGAGGGAUUGAAGGCCUUCGGGUUGUAAACCUCUUUCGUAGAGGAGGAAGGGGCCGUGAAGAACGGUCUUUGACCUAUUCUAGGAAGAAGCUUGGGCUAAGUUCGUG